rnacentral:rRNA from 1 species
GAACGCUGUGCGGGUUUCGAUCCGCAUGGAGUGGCGCACGGGUGAGUAGCGCGUGGGAACCUGCCCUGGAGUGGGGGAUAACCGAGGGAAACUUCGGCUAAUACCGCAUACGCCCGACGGGGAGACCUGUCGGGGAAAGAUUUAUCGCUCUAGGAGGGGCCCGCGUCGGAUUAGGUAGUUGGCGGGGUAACGGCCCACCAAGCCGAUGAUCCGUAGCUGGUCUGAGAGGAUGAUCAGCCACACUGGGACUGAGACACGGCCCAGACUCCUACGGGAGGCAGCAGUGGGGAAUAUUGGACAAUGGGCGCAAGCCUGAUCCAGCAAUGCCGCGUGAGUGAUGAAGGCCUUCGGGUUGUAAAGCUCUUUCGCACGCGAGGAUGAUGACGCUAGCGUGAGAAGAAGCCCCGGCUAACUUCGUGCCAGCAGCCGCGGUAAUACGAAGGGGGCGAGCGUUGUUCGGAUUUACUGGGCGUAAAGGGCGCGUAGGCGGUGCGGCAAGUCAGGCGUGAAAGCCCCGGGCUCAACCUGGGAGGUGCGCUUGGGACUGCGGCACUGGAGUUCGGGAGAGGAGCGUGGAAUUCCCAGUGUAGAGGUGAAAUUCGUAGAUAUUGGGAAGAACACCGGUGGCGAAGGCGGCGCUCUGGACCGAUACUGACGCUGAGGCGCGAAAGCGUGGGGA